AACGAACGCUGGCGGCAUGCCUAACACAUGCAAGUCGAACGAAAACUUCGGGCCUUGUUGCGCACGGGUGGGUAACGCGGGGGAACUUGCCCUUAAGUUCGGAAUAACUCACCGAAAGGGGUGCUCAUACAGGUUAAUGUCUUAGGAGAAAAGAUGUGUCGCCUUUGGAUGGGCGUGGGUUGGAUUAGCUGGUUGGUAGGGUAAACGCCUACCAAGGCGACGAUAGAUAGCUGGUCUGUGAGGACGAUCAGCAACGCUGGGACUGAGACACGGCCCAGAUUCCUGCGGGAGGAAGCAGUGAGGAAGAUUGGAGAAUGGACGACAGCCUGAUCCAGCAAUGCCGCGUGAGUGAUGAAGGCCUUAGGGAUGUAAAGCUCGUUUACCCGGGAUGAUAAUGACAGUACCGGGAGAAUAAGGCACGGCUAACUCCGUU
rnacentral:rRNA from 1 species